rfam:Zea mays cultivar B73 chromosome 4, whole genome shotgun sequence.
ACACUUGUAUUCACCUCAAUCCACAUGUAUUGAGGUCGAUUAGAGUAUAACUUAAAUUAAUUUACACCCCAAUCCACAUCAGUCCAUGUGGAUUGAGGUGAAUACGAGA